rnacentral:rRNA from 1 species
CCUACGGGGGGCAGCAGUGGGGAAUAUUGGACAAUGGGCGAAAGCCUGAUCCAGCCAUGCCGCGUGUGUGAAGAAGGCCUUCGGGUUGUAAAGCACUUUCAGUGGGGAAGAAAGCCUUGGGGCUAAUACCCUCGAGGAAGGACAUCACCCACAGAAGAAGCACCGGCUAACUCCGUGCCAGCAGCCGCGGUAAUACGGAGGGUGCGAGCGUUAAUCGGAAUUACUGGGCGUAAAGCGCGCGUAGGCGGUCUGAUAAGUCGGUUGUGAAAGCCCCGGGCUCAACCUGGGAACGGCAUCCGGAACUGUCAGGCUAGAGUGCAGUAGAGGAAGGUAGAAUUCCCGGUGUAGCGGUGAAAUGCGUAGAGAUCGGGAGGAAUACCAGUGGCGAAGGCGGCCUUCUGGACUGACACUGACGCUGAGGUGCGAAAGCGUGGGUAGCAAACAGGAUUAGAUACCCGAGUAGUC